rnacentral:rRNA from 1 species
AGAGUUUGAUCCUGGCUCAGGAUGAACGCUGGCGGCGUGCCUAAUACAUGCAAGUCGAACGCUUUGUCUUUAAUUGAUAUGAAGAGCUUGCUCUGAUUUGAUUUUAUCUGACAAAGAGUGGCGAACGGGUGAGUAACACGUGGGUAACCUACCUCUUAGCAGGGGAUAACAUUUGGAAACAAGUGCUAAUACCGUAUAACACUAACAACCGCAUGGUUGUUAGUUGAAAGAUGGUUCUGCUAUCACUAAGAGAUGGACCCGCGGUGCAUUAGCUAGUUGGUAAGGUAAUGGCUUACCAAGGCGAUGAUGCGUAGCCGAGUUGAGAGACUGAUCGGCCACAAUGGGACUGAGACACGGCCCAUACUCCUACGGGAGGCAGCAGUAGGGAAUCUUCCACAAUGGGCGCAAGCCUGAUGGAGCAACGCCGCGUGUGUGAUGAAGGGUUUCGGCUCGUAAAACACUGUUAUAAGAGAAGAACGACAUUGAGAGUAACUGUUCAGUGUGUGACGGUAUCCUAUCAGAAAGGAACGGCUAAAUACGUGCCAGCAGCCGCGGUAAUACGUAUGUUCCAAGCGUUAUCCGGAUUUAUUGGGCGUAAAGCGAGCGCAGACGGUUAUUUAAGUCUGAAGUGAAAGCCCUCAGCUCAACUGAGGAAGGGCUUUGGAAACUGGAUAACUUGAGUGCAGUAGAGGAAAGUGGAACUCCAUGUGUAGCGGUGAAAUGCGUAGAUAUAUGGAAGAACACCGGUGGCGAAAGCGGCUUUCUGGACUGUAACUGACGUUGAGGCUCGAAAGUGUGGGUAGCAAACAGGAUUAGAUACCCUGGUAGUCCACACCGUAAACGAUGAGUGCUAGCAUGUUCGAGGGUUUCCGC